ensembl:lincRNA
GAAAAUUAGAUCAUUUUAUUUUGGCUUCUCUAAUCUACAGCUUGUCUGAAGAGCCGAGAAGAUGAACCACCAUUUUAAGAUGACAUCCAGAGCAGAUAAGCAAGAGGAAGACACCAAAUAUGUUCUUUAAGGGCCAAGAUGAUGCUGGUGUGCCAGGUUUCAGAUUUGAGAGCAUCAGCUGAGGCCAUGAUGCACCUGGAGCCUAAAGCAAAAACUGAAAAACCUGAAUGACAGCCCAGGAGUUUCCAGAGCAGUACAAAGUCCUCUAUCUGGCUCCUACAACUGUCAUAAUAAGAACUGCCAUCGUUUGCUGAUGAAAAUUAGGAAUGUAUUAACAGCAAUCACAUUUAACAGCUACAUCUGUGGGGUUUGCCAGACGUAACACAUUUUGAAUGAACUUGAUCUCUGUUGCUUCCUAUUGAUAGGUUGAGCUACAAAUAAGGAAGCCGAUUUUAAUAUGCAUCCCCAUUGAAUUUAAACUGACCACCAAGCUUAUAAUCUCUGGCUGUAGAGACGAGGACACAAAGGGUUAAGUAACUUCCCCAAAGUCACACAAGCAGCCAUGUUGUUGUGACAGAAAACAUUAUUAGGGUCUUGGAGGAGGAAAUGUCCCUUCUCAAACAUUAAGCCAAGAAAAAAUCAGAAACGUCCAGCUUAUAAUGUUAGAAUACUCUGAUUCUAUUACAGCACUUACUUUUCCCCCUCAAACUGAUACUUAAAAAACUCUUUGUCUGGGAGCUGGACAGAUUGUUCAGAGGUUAAGAACACUGCUUUUCCAGAGGUCCUGAGUUCAAUUCCCAGCAACCACGUGGUGGCUCAAAAUCAUCUCUAACAGGAUUGGAUGCCCUCUUCUGGUGUGUCUGAAGACAGCUACAGUAUGCUCACAUAAAAAUAAAUAAAUACAAAUCUUAACAAGAAAAUAAAAAAACAAACACCUCUUUGUCCAGGUGGUAAGCAGUUUGAGUAACAUCUAGAAUUACAAAUGUGUACACAGGGUCUUACACACAAUUUAAUGACAAUAUGUUGUUUGUUCAAAUGAAAGAAUUUAAAAAAAAAGAUUUUGUGUGUGUGUGUGCAGUGUGUGUGCCACGUAUGUGGGUGCACAUGUGUGUGGGAGCACAUAUAUGUAGGUACACAUGUGUGUGGAUGCCUUUGGAGGCCAGAAGAUGGUGUCAGAACGUUUGGAGCUGGAGUUGUCGGCAGCUGUGAACAGAAUUCUGGUCUUCUGCAAGAACGGUCUGUGCUCUUAGCUGUGGAGCCGUUAGUCCUCACAGUGUUUUCAAUGUUUGCUUCAGACUCAAUGCAACUGCCACUCAGAGUGAAUUGGACAAGGACCAGGUAUAGCAGUGACUUCCAGGGCAGUUCGGGCUGGAGUUCUGAUAUGACUGGUCGCUACUGGAUACAGCGUAGUCUUCCACACCUUCGUAGUGUGUGGAGGUAUUGGGUGCCCAACUGAUCAGGUGAUUCAAAUGCUGUCUUUUUUUAUUCCUCUGGGAGUGUUUUGUUACCUAGGGAUGGGAACACCAUAGCAACUAAGAGAUACAAAUCUUGCUGAAUUGAAUCCUUGUGCUAGAAAUAACCUGGACAAAGACUGAGCUUAAAACAGAACAAGGAGGGUGUGGGGGAGUUAAAGAUUCGAGGAGGAGGAUAGAACUAUUAAAGAGCCCAGAGUUCUGAUUUUGGAUUAAAUUUUUCCUUAACUUGCAAGGCACACUGUUACUCUUCAAAUACAGGGCCAUUAACAGGAGAAGAAUGUGGAUGGGGACAGGUGACCAUCCCCAAUGAAAUACUAUUAUGUGUACUCCCUCUAUCUUGUCACCUCACGCUGAAGAUAAAGACACUGGAAAGAAAAAGAUGGUAUUGGAGGCCCAGAAGCUGCUUAGUUUGGCCCUACUGUAAACCUCCUUCCCAGGGGCCCUACAACCUUUCCAGUCACGCGACUUAAAGAGCGUUAAAGGGACUUCACUAAGGCAGGCUCUGCGCGGCACACCCCACCCUUCCUGGUAGAGUAAGUUGUGUCAAUAACAAGUUUCUCAGGGGUGCACACGUGAGAAGGCAGGGGUCUUCUGCUGGGGUGGAGCGCCUGGGGAACAGCCAUAAGCCCCGGCUCCUGGGUUUCUGGAAUGCAGCCCCAGCUCCUGGCGAGGCGUGUGGCUGCCAUGCACCGCGGAUGCCAGGCUGGGCGAGUGCAUCCGGGCGGCCGCAUGGCGUUGGCUCCGGGAGGUGGCAGCUGCGCUUUGUGUGCAGCAGGAGGGUGAGUCACCGGCCCCCGCGGUUCGUCCCAAGGCCGGGUGGACUCUCGGGCCGAGUGGCGGAGCGAUCCGGGUAAGGGCGGCUCGGAGGCGGCGCUGCGCGUUCCCGGCUCCCGCCU